GACGUAGGGCGCGAGCGUUGUCCGGAUUUAUUGGGCGUAAAGAGCUCGUAGGCGGUCUGUCGCGUCUGCUGUGAAAACUCAGGGCUUAACCCUGAGCUUGCAGUGGGUACGGGCAGACUAGAGUGCGGUAGGGGAGACUGGAAUUCCUGGUGUAGCGGUGAAAUGCGCAGAUAUCAGGAGGAACACCGGUGGCGAAGGCGGGUCUCUGGGCCGUAACUGACGCUGGAGGAGCGGAAAGCAUGGGGAGCGAACAGG
rnacentral:rRNA from 1 species